UAAUACGUAGGGACCAAGCGUUGUCCGGAAUCAUUGGGCGUAAAGCGCGCGUAGGCGGCCCGGUAAGUCCGUUGUAAAAGUCGAAGGCUCAACCUUCGAAAGCCGAUGGAUACUGCCGGGCUAGAGUACGGAAGAGGCGAGUAGAAUUCCUGGUGUAGCGGUGGAAUGCGCAGAUAUCAGGAGGAAUACCCAUAGCGAAGGCAGCUCGCUGGGACGUUACUGACGCUGAGGCGCGAAAGCGUGGGGAGCGAACAGGAUUAGAUACCCUGGUAGUCCACGCCGUAAACGAUGGGCACUAGGUGUGGGAGGUGUCGACUCCUCCCGUGCCGACGCUAACGCAUUAAGUGCCCCGCCUGGGGAGUACGGCCGCAAGGCUA
rnacentral:rRNA from 1 species